UACGAAGGGGGCUAGCGUUGCUCGGAAUCACUGGGCGUAAAGCGCACGUAGGCGGCUUGCUAAGUCAGGGGUGAAAUCCUGGAGCUCAACUCCAGAACUGCCUUUGAUACUGGUGAGCUUGAGUCCGGAAGAGGUGAGUGGAACUGCGAGUGUAGAGGUGAAAUUCGUAGAUAUUCGCAAGAACACCAGUGGCGAAGGCGGCUCACUGGCCCGAUACUGACGCUGAGGCACGAAAGCGUGGGGAGCAAACAGG
rnacentral:rRNA from 1 species